rnacentral:rRNA from 1 species
UUACGGGAGGCAGCAGUGGGGAAUUUUGGACAAUGGGCGAAAGCCUGAUCCAGCAAUGCCGCGUGAGUGAAGAAGGCCUUCGGGUUGUAAAGCUCUUUUGUCAGGGAAGAAACGGUGUGGGCUAAUAUCCCGCACUAAUGACGGUACCUGAAGAAUAAGCACCGGCUAACUACGUGCCAGCAGCCGCGGUAAUACGUAGGGUGCAAGCGUUAAUCGGAAUUACUGGGCGUAAAGCGUGCGCAGGCGGUUUUGUAAGUUUGUCGUGAAAGCCCCGGGCUCAACCUGGGAAUUGCGAUGAAGACUGCAAGGCUUGAAUCUGGCAGAGGGGGGUAGAAUUCCACGUGUAGCAGUGAAAUGCGUAGAGAUGUGGAGGAACACCGAUGGCGAAGGCAGCCCCCUGGGUCAAGAUUGACGCUCAUGCACGAAAGCGUGGGGAGCAAACAGGAUUAGAUACCCCAGUAC